rnacentral:rRNA from 1 species
AGCGAACGCUGGCGGCAGGCCUAACACAUGCAAGUCGAACGGAUCCUUCGGGAUUAGUGGCGGACGGGUGAGUAACACGUGGGAACGUGCCCUUUGGUUCGGAACAGCUCAGGGAAACUUGAGCUAAUACCGGAUGUGCCCUUCGGGGGAAAGAUUUAUCGCCAUUGGAGCGGCCCGCGUCUGAUUAGCUAGUUGGUGAGGUAAAGGCUCACCAAGGCGACGAUCAGUAGCUGGUCUGAGAGGAUGAUCAGCCACAUUGGGACUGAGACACGGCCCAAACUCCUACGGGAGGCAGCAGUGGGGAAUCUUGCGCAAUGGGCGAAAGCCUGACGCAGCCAUGCCGCGUGAAUGAUGAAGGUCUUAGGAUUGUAAAAUUCUUUCACCGGGGACGAUAAUGACGGUACCCGGAGAAGAAGCCCCGGCUAACUUCGUGCCAGCAGCCGCGGU